AAAUACCUGCGGGUCAUCCACAUACUGCGGGUCAUCCACAACCAGUACCCGCCUACUAGCGUUCUCUCUCACAAUGGGUCCAGAGCCCAGGUAAUGCGGGACAUCCGCAGCCAGUACCCGUCCCUAACAUCAUUACUCAAAUGACUCAAAAACUUACUAAAGUACUGUUGUACGUCUACAGCCAGCACUAGGUACUUCUCUAUGAACGUUUAUGCUUUUAAAUGAAGCUUUAACAGUAUUGAACUUUAACUAGACUUUUAAAGAAAACCAGUUUAAUAU